rnacentral:rRNA from 1 species
GGCCCUGAGAGGGAAUCUGAGACACUAUUCCCAGCCUUACGGGGUGCAGCAGCCGGGGAUCUUUUGCAAUGCGCGAAAGCGUGACAAAGUGAGUUAGAGUGUUUCUCUAUAAUGAGAAACUUUUGUUAGUUGUAAAAAGACUAGCGGAUAAGGACUGGGUAAGACCGGUGCCAGCCGCCGCGGUAAUACCGGCGGUCCAAGUCGCAUCCAUAUUUAUUGGGUCUAAAACAUUCGUAGCUUGUUUUGAAAGUCUCUUGUGAAAUCUUAUAUCUCAAGUAUAAGGCGUGCAAGAGAUACUUCAUAACUAGAGACCGGAAGAUGCAAAAAGUAUUAUUAAGGUAGCGGUAAAACGUGUUAAUCUUAAUGAGACUAACAAUGGCGAAGGCAUUUUGCAAGUACGGAUCUGACAGUGAGGAAUGAAGGCUAGGGGCGCAAAACGGAUUAGAUACCCGUGUAGUCCUAGCAGUAAACACUGUUCACUAAACAUUAGUACCUCUUCGAGAGGUAUUAGUGCUGUAGGGAAGCCGAAGAGUGAACUACCUGGGAAGUAUAGUCGCAAGGCUGAAACU